rnacentral:miRNA from 12 species
GGGACAUGGUCAUUGGGAACGAUGGGGAUGGGUUGGGGUUGGACUUGAGGAUCUUAGAGGUCUUUUCCAACCUGGAUGAUUCUAUGGUUC